UCAGUUUUGAACAGCGGUAAC
ensembl:piRNA 21ur-5320 ncRNA